GGCAGGCGCUCGCCCGGAGUCCUCCUCCUCCCCAUCAUGCAGAGCGCACCCGUCCCGCCGCCCAGACUCUAUGGUGAGCACAGAUGAGUUGCCCGCUGAGGAGGCGGGGCGGGGCCGGAAAGAAGAUGGCGACGCUGGUGCUGGAUAACGGCGCCUAUAAUGCCAAGAUCGGCUACAGCCACGAGCAUGUCAGUGUUAUUCCCAACUGCCAGUUUAGAUCAAAAACAGCACGUUUGAAAACUUUUACAGCCAAUCAACUGGAUGAAAUUAAAGAUCCCUCCGGACUCUUUUACAUUCUCCCUUUUCAGAAGGGUUACUUGGUGAACUGGGAUGUUCAGAGACAGGUUUGGGAUUACCUUUUUGGAAAGGAAAUGUAUCAGGUGGACUUUGUAGAUACAAAUAUUAUUAUUACUGAACCUUAUUUUAACUUCAGUUCAAUUCAAGACUCUAUGAAUGAAAUUUUAUUUGAAGAAUAUCAGUUUCAAGCAGUUCUUAGAGUAAAUGCUGGGGCUCUCAGUGCACAUAGAUAUUUCCGGGACAAUCCAUCCGAACUAUGUUGUAUCAUUGUGGACAGUGGCUACUCCUUUACACAUAUUGUACCUUACUGCAGAAGUAAAAAGAAGAAAGAGGCAAUUAUUAGGAUUAAUGUUGGAGGAAAGCUCUUAACCAAUCAUCUAAAGGAGAUCAUCUCUUACAGGCAGCUACACGUUAUGGAUGAAACUCAUGUAAUUAAUCAAGUGAAAGAAGAUGUAUGUUAUGUGUCUCAGGACUUUUACAAAGAUAUGGAGAUUGCUAAGUUGAAAGGGGAAGAAAAUACAGUAAUGAUAGACUAUGUUUUGCCAGACUUCAGCACAAUCAAAAAAGGGUUUUGUAAGCCAAGGGAAGAAAUGGUGUUAAGUGGAAAAUACAAGACUGGGGAACAAAUACUUCGUCUAGCAAACGAGAGAUUUGCUGUUCCAGAAAUUCUCUUCCAUCCUUCAGAUAUUGGCAUUCAAGAAAUGGGAAUUCCUGAAGCCAUUGUUUAUUCAAUUCAGAACUUGCCUGAAGAAAUGCAGCCUCACUUCUUCAAGAAUAUUGUUCUGACUGGGGGAAAUACCCUUUUCCCAGGCUUCAGGGAUCGAGUCUACUCUGAAGUUCGAUGCCUCACUCCAACUGAUUAUGAUGUUUCUGUUGUUCUGCCAGAAAAAGAAAUGGUGGGAUUACUGUCCAUCUCUUGAAUCAACUCUUGAAGAUAGUGCCUUGUUUGUUGCUUUUGGUCUUCAAAUUCUUCAGGAGUCAAACGCUGACAAAAGGUGAAGCCUUAAUAGGAAAAAAGCAUAACUUAGGCUAAAGGAUUCCUGCUCAUCAAGAAACUGAAGGACAAUAUUCUUGCAAGCAAGAAGGAAUCGACUGAUCUAUGCAUGAGACAUCUACGGGUGCAGCAAAAAACUUCGAAUGCUAGGGUAAUUUGUGCAUGCCUCAUGGUAGAAGCAUAAUAGGAACACAAUCAAAUGAAAUCUUCAGAGAAACCAAAAAUUACAGGCAAGCAAUUUUCCCUUUUAAUAAUGUAUGCUGAUAGAAAAGUGAACCAAACAUUCUACCAAAGUAAUAGUUUAUAUGUCUUUAGCCAAAUCUUAUUUUACACUAUUUUCUUCUGAAUUUAACUUUGUGAAGGAAAUUACAUAAUGAAUACCAGGAUUGAAGAGAAGUUAGAAUGUGGCCUCAGUCUCCAUUUAAUGCUAUGCUUUGUUUUAGGUGGGUAGUAAUUAAAAUUAGUUAAUGAAUUAAACCACUUAAAGCCCUAUUGUCAGUAUAACAGAGAAGAUGAGGAAGUCAGGAAAAGCAUUUCACCAUAAGUUGGUAUGUAGUACAUUAAACUUAUUUGCAUGCAACUACUUAUAUAAAAAUGCACAAUAUCAAACUUUCUACCUGAACUGGCAUCAGGAUCUUGUCCUUCCAGCAAACUCAUACGUUUCUUGCCAAUUAGUUCCAACAGAAUUAAAGGGGUCUGCACAAGAACAGAAUUUUCAGAUGUUUAGUUGGUGUUUAUACAGUUCAUUAGAAAACCAUACUUGCACAAUAAAGAUGAAGUUAAAGUUGAGUAUGUAAAUGGGCACUCCUGGUACAUAUGUUUUACAAACACAGAGUAAAUUGUUAGGUUUUUUUUAAAUUCAAGUAGUAGUAAUGUACAAUAGAACCUCAGAGUUACGAACUGACCAGUCAACCCCACACACUUCAUUUGGAACCGGAAGUACACAAUCAGGCAGCAGAGACCAAAAAAAGCAAAUGUACAGCAGUGGUUCUCAACAAGGGGGCCAGGGCCCCCUGAGGGGCCAUGAACAGAUUUCAGGAGGUCCUCCAAGCAGGGCCAGCGUUAGACUCCCCGGGGCUCAGGGCAGAAAGCGAAAGCCCCACCACAUGGGGCUGAACAUUGGGCCCUGAGUCCUGCCACCUGGGGCUGACACCAAAGCCUGAGCUUUGCAGGGGCCCCUGUGGCAUUAGGUCCCAGGCAGUUGCCCUGCUUGCUACCCCCUUAUGCUGGCCCUGGCUUUAUAUGCAGAAAAUCAGUUAUUGUGGCACAGAUGGGCUGUGGAAUUUUUAUAGCAUGUUGGGGGGCCUUGGAAAGAAAAGGGUUGAGAACAACUGCUAUACAGCAUAGUAUUGUGUUAACUAAAAAAUAAAGGGACAGUGUUAAAGAUUUGACAAGGUAAGGACACUGCUUUUUUCAUUUAAAUUAACAUGGUUAAAAGCAGUAUUUUUCUUCUGCAUAGAAAAGUUUCAAAGCUGUAUUUAGUCAAUGUUCAGCUGUAAACUUUUGAAAGAACCACCAUAACGUUUUGUUCAAAGUUACAAACAAUCUCCAUUCCCGAGGUGGUUCGUAACUCUGAGGUUCUACUGUACUUUUAAACAAAGUUAAAGGUCAUGAAAAUUAGUGACAGAAAGACCAGCGUAGUUUUGUUUUAAAUGAAAACUUAGGCUCAGAUCCUGCAAACAUUUAUAUGCUUAACCUCACUGGUUUCAAGGGGUCUACUCCUUAUAAUAAAGUUAAGCAUGCGCAUAAAAUGUUUUCAGGAUCAGGGCCAUAAGCUGUAAAUUUACAGCCAUUUCAGAGUUUGGUUUCCUAGUAAGAUGAUUUGUUAUUUGGAAUCAUUAAUAAGUGAGUCUAUAUUGCAGUACUUAAAAUUUCUGGUUGUUUUAGGGGUGGUGAUAAAAAUACAAAUUGUUUGGGUGACCUUAACUUUUUUUUUGUUCAGAUAGUAUUAAUUGUGUAUUUCCAGACUGUCAAAAGUUCAGACUGAUUGUAAAACUGCAAGGUUCUUUUAAGGAAAUCUGUUCUUAAAGUUCAUCUGCUCAGUCUUAUCUACAACUUAAGUUAGAGAAACUAAAAAUAUUUAUUUAUUAAAAAAGGAUUUAAAUGUUAGGUGACAGGUAUCCUUAAAGAUAGUAAGAUGGAUGGGAACUGCCCCGUCAGACCACCCCACCUGCUAGUGUCACACUUCCAUUCUGGUCAUCUGUAGAAGGCUUCAGUAGGUAAGAAAUGCAGAAAUGUCUAAACAAGCUAAUCCCCUCCCCCCAUACAGGCCAAGAUGAUAAAUCAAAGGUUAAGUUUCUAAGCCAAAACUUCUGGAGGUAUGACAAACCAAAUAAAUUACAGGAAAGUAUCCCAGAACUGAAAUAUAUUUUAUCUUCCAAGCAGCUUUUUAAAAAUUUCUCCCAGCGUAUCCAGAAAUAUUCUAUCCUGGGCUAAGAUCCUGCAAGUGAAAUUUCAAGCAAGUUGGUCCUUUCUGGCCAAAGCUUGAGAAGUGUGGUUUCUAACUCAAGCUUAUCAUGGAAAAGUAGUAGUACCUCUCUGUACAUAACCUUACACUAAAAAGUUCAUUUUUUUAAAAAUAGACUAAUUCAGUUUGGCAACAUUUCAAGAUAGCAUUGAGUCAGCUGCUUAAGGCCUCAAUACUUCAAUGAAUUGUAUGGGGGCAGGCCCAUUUGACUUUAAAAGGGCUGUGUGUGGGUGCAGAGGUCCAUCUGUAUGCAGCUCUUUGAAGCACUGGAGUCCAAGUUCCUAUAAUUGCAGCGUUCUAGAAAAGCAAGGGAUGUGCCAAAGUAAGUGAUUCUAUAUGUAGGGGGGAAGAAAAGAGGGUUUGGGAGAUUAAGUACUGAUCAUCAUCCACAUGCAUUUCCCUUCAAGGGGAAUAGAUUCCUUGCUUAACUCACAAGGUUUGAAAGUUCUAGUAAGCAUCUCAAACGCCUGAUGUUUAUUGAAUUCUUUACCUGAGCAACAGACAUCUCACACAGACUGUCUUUCCCUAUUUCUAGUACUUGAUAAUUUCAACUGAACCAGAAAUAGUGCAAUAGCAGCUUUUCCUAUGCUAUUUUGAUGCUUCCAUUUCUGACCCCAGCUGAUACGAAAUAAAAAGGGACAUGUGAGCAUUGUGUUCCUCAGACAGCGAGUUGGUUUAAUAUGAGGAUUCCCCCCCCCCCGCCAUAUACACUAUCUAGAGAAUAUUUACCACUUAAUUUUCCACCAUUUUCAGGCAGCUGAGAUGGAGUUCAAACUACCAGACAUUUUCCUAGUUGUCUUUUUAAUUCGUUUUCCAACUGGAAAAAUAACUAAAACAAAUACUAUAGUUUUAAUAUGCAUUGGCUAAAAUCUGAAAAAAAUUAAAUAGCUAGAAAAAGUACAUCUUUUCAUAUGCAAGAUAUAGUUGAAUGUAACUGAAAAAGUAUUUCUGCUUAUUCACAAUGGAUUUAUCAUUGACAAAUGGGAAAAAAUUGAUUUACCUACUAGGUUUAUAUUAACUGCCACAAGUAAGAUUUUAAAAUACUAAGUUAAUUCCUGGGGCUGAAAGACACUGCCAGUAUGUGCUCAGCCUCUGCAAAAUUUCAGCUUUGAAGGACUCCCUCUAAGUACAUUAGCUGGCUUCUGCAGGGAGUUGUUUCCAACACUGCUUUGCUAGAGAGAGAAGUGCUACAAUGAGCCUGCGAAUUUGAGAGUGGGGACAAUGGAAGUAGAGAGGAAGUAGAUAAUUUUAAAAGAUUUCCCCUGUAGUCCAGAAAAACUGAAUUAGUCUGGAACACUUUCUGGUCCUAUAAGACACUGUAGCUUUUACAGGUUGCCAUGACAGAUACAAAAAAGCACAUUCAUAUAAAGCUGCUUUUUGACAAUUAACAUCUAAAAUCACAAGGUCAAAGUUUGUCAGAUGAGAAGGAAAUACCUUGAAGAGUUCAGUAUGAUUCUUCAUCAGUAACUGGAUUAGCUGUUCAGUCUGUGUUUUUGACAAUCCUUUAUUUUGUAAAAUGGCCUUGGUAAAAAUCUUGAUGAUCACUGAUCUAUUAUCACACUAUAAAACAGAAGAAUAAUGACCUGGAUUAGAUUUGCUUGCAGUUAUUCUAGAUGUUAGCUAAAUGAUAGUUAUAAAUAGGUGACAAAAUCUACACUGUGAAAAAAAUACAUUUAAGUUAUUUUAAAAGCAUCAGGUUGAAAUUUAGUAAUGGAUCGGUCAAUUUCUAUGGCUGUUAAAAGAAUAAGUCUAUUAAUAUUACGAUGGGGGAGUGAUAAUUUCUACACUAUGUUUCAAUGCAAUACUUACUUGUUUUUGUAACGUGUAGCCCUCAGGUUCUGAUGCAACAACCAUAAACAUCAGUAGCCUACGCAGUUCUUCUUGGAUGUUCGGCCCUAGUAAUCUUAAGUAAAGCUGUGAUGCCUCCAGGGCUUGUGCUAUUUUUCCAUUCUCUGCAAUGUUAGUGAAAUAUUGUAUAUAGUGCAGUCUACUGCUUUGAACAGAAUCAAGAAAAUGUAUUUAAAUAGGAGUCAAUUUCUGAUUAUAGGCUUAAAACCAUGUAGCCUUCCUUGUCUUAGAGCUAGGCAAGUAAUAUAUUUUUAAAAUAACAUCCCCUGGAUAUUAUGAAGUCUUAAAUGAACUAGAUGCAGAACCUCCAUUUCACCUUUUUCAUACAGUUUGUGUUUCCCUACCUUUGACUGAAUCCUUAACUGCUCCUUUAUAUGAUGUGAUGCAACAUGACCAGCGUGCCUCACUGUUGCGCCAUUCCCAUUGCUGAUGAGCUUUUUAAACCACCAAGCUACACCCAUUUUGUGGUAAAGGGACAUGGCAGGAAUCACACUCUUAUAUAGCAUUCUUCAUCUGUAGAUCUCAAAGCAUUUGCAAAAGUAAGUAUCUUUAUCCCCAUUUAACAGAGGGGGAAACUGGCAGAGAGAUUAAAGUCACAGCAGGUCAGCGGCAGAGCCACCAAGGUCUUUGAUUGCCAGUCCUCUGCUCUAGACACUGGUCCAAAUAAUUAUGUCUAGCAAAAUGCAAACUAUAAUUAAAAGGAGACUGGUCCAUAAACCAAUUAUUUUCUCUGAAAGAAUAAAAGCAACUAGAAUUGAUGUAUAAGCGCAUUGAGACUUGGAAAAGGAGGAAGUAUGAAUGAGGGCUGAAAGCCAAAAGAAAAGAGUGAGCAAAUAUAGAAAAGAAGAGCAUCAGAAGACCAAGGUUAAGGAAAAUAUGGAGAAGUUGACAGAUUAGAUAACUGAUAAAGGACAGUUUCCAGCUGCCUCAGAGGUUUAAUCACAGAUCAGGAAGUUUCAUUUAAAAAAAAAAAGAUUUCAGCCUUCUGUUGACAGUGCAAAAAUAAUUUUUGAAAUCAAGCUUGCUGUGAGUUCAUGGAGAUACUAGUUUCAGCAUCUGUAGUGCACACACAGCAAGAGUAGGUUGUCUUCAAUUGGCUGCAACAGUUAUUGUGUGAGCAUGUAACAAUCCUUCCCCCACCCCAGGCCAAAUUUGCCAUCUGGAAUAGCCAACAACUAAAUUAGGCCAGGUCCUGCAGUCCUAUUGAAGUAAGAGAUCAAUGGCACCUUUAUCUGAGUAAGGGUUAUAGCACAGGGCCUAUAUAGCAGAAUAAAGGGUUAUAGCUCAGGGCCUAUAUAGCAGAAUAAAGAAUAAUAUACAAGCAACCCUAGGCAACUCUAAAGCCUGCACUUUGCAACUAGUGGUAAAAUAAGCAUAACCUCCUCCUAAUGUAUGUAUGUAUGAGCUGUGCUUCUUGUGUAGACUGAUGGGCAGCAGGAGACAAACCUAAAGAACUGUGGAAUGCUUAAUAUAUUUAGAAGUGAACCUCUGUUUAAUUAUGAAGUUAGGACCACCACCUGUCCAAAAUGAAGCUGAAACUAAGCUGGGCCUGCAUUAGAAACUGUUCCCCAGGCAGAUUUUAACUGACUAAAAUCUGGAAAGUGACACAGGACUGGCACAAAUUAGCGUGGCAUGUUCAUAGAACAUACUGUUUAGCUUAAGAGGAGAUUUUAAAUAAAGGGAGAAUAAUGAGGGAGCUACAGUAUGGAAAGCAUAGCGUUCUUUCAGUGAUUUAUGUCACCAGCCUUUUCCCCACCUCCCUUUAUGUGAAAGUAUGGUAGGGUAUGGUUCCUUUUUAACUAAACUAAUGAUUUCAAAUUAGUAAUCAUGGGUUGGGAAUUUACUAUAGUCUUACCACAGAUUUCUUUUUAUGAUCCCUUUAUUUAUUUUAAUUAAAAAGGGUCUCUUUGCCAAGUGUCAGCCCUAGGGAGGAACAUGCUCAAUGUCUUCAGUAUCAUCACUGAGCUCAUAUGGCACUAAGCUCUGUAAAGUAUCUCUGAAAAUGGAGCAUUAAGGUAACAUUCCAUACAUUCUGCAAGUCCUAAGGGGUACAAUAAAAAAAAAAACCAUACUCACGAUAGAAUUUAUUAAAAUCCAAGUUUAAGGUAACCCUUGCUGUUAUUUUGUUUUGGGAAGAUUUAGUUGUUUGCCAUAAAGUUUGCAGAAUCAGGAAGAACUUAUCAUACCCUGAAUUGAAUCUUAGAAUUAAGAGAAGAUUUCUGGUCUCUUACCUUGUUAGUUUAUUUGCUAUUAAUAGAAAUGAGUCCAUAAGUUAUGAAUCCCUCUUUUGAUUGACAGGGAAACAGUAUCAAAAAGUGAUUCUACUCAUAAGAUGUCUGUAUUAGUAUUUAGUUGAUAAGUUUUAAUUUCCUUAAUGUGAAAAUAAAGAUUAUGCACUUACCUAUAAGUUCAACAAUUCCUGAAUGAAUAUCAAGAUCAUGAUUGUUGAAAAGGGGGUCCCUCAUUUGAUUAUAAUAUUUUGCUAUCACAUCAAAAAGUGUCUUCUUGUGCAUAUUCAAGUGACUUGGUUCGUUACUGAUUUGAAAUAACUGCUGACCAACCAUCACUAUUAGCUGGUCUGGAAAAUACUCCAAGCAUUCAAUUGCUGCACAAAGCCAUUUGUCAAGCCUGGGGAGAGAAAGUUAGUUUUAGUACUUACAUUUAAUGCUAGACAAAACUUUAUUUCAGCUAAAAUUCAGAAAGAAUUAACCAGACACGUACAACUACAUGCAUAUUUGAACAACAGCAUCAUACAACUUAUUUAAUAAGCAAUUAAAGAACGUAGUGGGAUGCUGUAGCUAUAAGUCCACUGAAUUAUUGCUGCAAUUAACAACCAACUUUCGCCUCCCUAGACUACAACAAUACGGCUGAAGUUUGCCUUCCCUCAGACAAAGGAAGCCACAAUGGUGCAGUCUGUCACAAACAUUUCAGAAAUGCAAGUUGUGACAGUGCAGUCCUGCCUUGUCAGUUUCAGCCGUCACAAGGGAAAAAAGGUUAUCCAGCUACACAACCAAACUCAGGGGCUGAAACUUUAAAGGAGCAAAGAAACUAGACAUUCAAUUUAAAAACAAAAAUGAAACACUUAAAACCGUGACAAAUGAAAGGAAGCCAACAACUAACUAGGAAAGAACAAGAAAUAAGCACUAAAGAUUGCCACUGCAGGCAAAGGCAUCAUGCACAGAUGGUUCCAACACCAUCAACUGCCUGGGGCAAGAGGAGAGAUAAGGUGGGCGAGGUAAUCUCGCUUAUUGGACCAGCUUCUGUUGGUGAGACAAGCUUUUGAGCUUACACAGAGCUCUUCUGCAGCCCAGACCUGAAAAGCUCUAUGUAAGCUCAAAAUAGUCAGUCUCUCUUUCACCAACAGAAGUUGAUCCAAUAAGAGAUAUUACCUCACCCACCUUGUCUCUCUAGUACCCUGGUACUAACAUAGCUACAACGCUGCAUGUGGUAAGAAGGGUAGCAACUCUCUUCUUGUAAUGUUAGGUCCGACAAGGGGACAUUUAUGGCUCCAAUAGGAAAUAUUCUUCUAGAUCAGUGAUUCUCAAACUGUGGGUUGGGACCCUAAAGUGGGUCACGAUCCCAUUUUAAUGGGGUCACCAGGGCUGGCUUAGACUUUCUGGGGCCCAGCGCUGAAGCCGAAGCCCAGGGCCAAGCUAAAGCCAAAGCCCACUGCCUGGGGCUGAAGCCCUUGGGGUCAGGCUUCAGUCCCCCCUCCUAGGACCAUGUAGUAAUUUUUGUUGUUAGAAGGGGGUCACCAUGCAGUGAAGUUUGAGAACCCCUGUUCUAGAUGGUUCAUGGCCAAGUGUGGCUAUACACAUCCCACAUGGCAGCAUAAGCAAAGGGAAUACGAAUAAUUGUUUUUCCAAGCAUAAGUAACGUCCCUGUAGGUUGCCAGAAAGUAUGCAACCCAGAAAGAGAGACAGAAUUGAAAAGGCACAGCUGAGACCCUGAUUUCAGUCCAUUCUCUCUAAUAUUCUGAGACACCACUUCAAAGAAGUAUGAAUCUGGAAAAUACCCUUGGUUAGUGGGUUCAGGGAUGCAGAUACUGGAACUGUAAUCAACUGUUUGAAUAUACCAUGAGUUCGCAAAUGGAACUGUUGCUGAAAGAGAAAAAUAGCUCAGCUUAAUUUGAUUUUAAAACUGGAUCUAUGCUAAUUGACUUCAAGACCAGAGGUGUUUCUUGGAAUCAAUUCAAGCCACCUUCAACCACCUAAAACUAAUUUGAACAGCUAAACCAGUUAGAAACUAGCAGCAACUGAAGCUUCGCUGGUUACCUAACUCUCAAUGCAUUUUGCUUUGAUUCUCAAACAUCUUCCACAUGAACAAACAAAGACUAUUGUAAUGCAGAUGCUUUUUGGGGGAUAAACAGACUGACCAACAUUUAUCAAAAAGGAACCAAAAUUUGAUGACUUCUCCUGAAGUGAAACCAUACUAACUUUUCAAAACAUGGCUCAGGAUAAGUGCUAGCAUAAUAGACAAAUUCCUCUUAUGAGUUGACCCCAGGCCACCCACAUCCAAGAGGCUGGGCCUCAACACAUCAUUCCAGGCUACAAAAUGAAACUUUUAUUCAGCUGUACUGCCAUGUGGUAAAACAUGACAUCAACCCAGAUGUGAUCAACAGGAAUAGUUUAGAAAUACUGGAAGGUUUGGAACGGCAAACAGACUGGCACCAAAUUGCCACAUCUUUCUUUCUGUGGUACAGUGACCCUUUUGUCACAGCAGGGGCUUUCCCUUGCUAUCUGUAACAAUGGCUGCUCCAUUUGCUUUACACACUUACUGCACCUCCACUUCAAACCACCAAGAAAAGGACUGUAUAAACCCCUUUGGGAUACCUCAGUUAUGAAAGCCCUAAAAUAAGUUCUUAUAAAAUAUAUAUUUUUAUAACUAACUCGGGCAAAUUUAGGCUGCAUGUAACCUCUCUGUCAAGGAAAGUAUUUGAGAUAAUCAGAUCUUCUUCUCUGCCAAGAUGAUCAUUUUUCCUCUUGUUUGGAGACUCCAAAAUAUUUUCCAGGACUGGAAGAUCAAUUAACUGCAGUAGCCGUAACAGAGUCUGUUGUUUCCAGACAUCAUCUAUAACUGGGAGUACAAACAGGAAGAUGGAAAAAAUAAACCAGAAGUCAAGGUUACUGGGAACAAGAGUAGGUACACAUAGCAUGUAUGUAAAUAUCAAAAAGAAGAAUUUUUGCUUGAUUUGAAAUUAAGUCAGCCCAGCUUACAAUAUAUUCAUUAUAUGUAAAUAAUGUUAUUUUAUUUUUUAGGGGGAAAAUGUCUUAAGAAAACUGGGAAAAAGCUUUUAAAUAUUUUUGUGUCUAAGUUAUUACUUUUUAUAACUAACUAUCUGCUCUAACAUUUAAUAUAUACAGUAACAAAAUACAUGAGAAUAAAUACAUUAAAAAAAGGAAAGACCCUUAUAACCAAAAAGACUCUCAACAGGUGUUUUUAAGAGGGGCAAUGUAAGCUUGCAUAUCAUAUAUCCAUCUGAAAAUUUGGUAUGGGCUAUUUUAUAUGAGCCCCUAAGGUGCUUAAAGAGAAUAUUCUUUUUAGUUUUUUUUAUUUGAUUGCUGUGUGCAUUUAGCACUACUCUGCAUAGAAUCAGUUUCACUGUUUUGUUGAUAGUUGCACUGUAGUCUUGUAUGCUUUUGAGAGGAGUUCACAUGAAUGUUCUUCCCCAGGCUCUGCAAGAACUGCCAGUGUGUGGCAUUAGGAGUGUGACCUGGGCUCUUUCUUCCUGGACUCCUGCACAAAGAAGCCUGGGUUAUGUGCAUGGAGGCAACAUUUGGUAGGGCAGAAGGGACUAGGGGAGAGAGAGUCUCCUCUCAAUCACAAGACUUCUGGAUGGGGCUGGGAGCCAGGAAAGCCUCUUUCACAGACAGACUACACAACAGGAUUCAGGAGUACGUGGUCCCUCAGCUGGGCCAGGGAGAAGGAAGUGACAGCCCCCUCCUUAUCCCUUGCUCCCAAGACUGGAGACAGUAGGAAUAGCAGCCAGAGGAAAUUCCCCAACAAAACCCUCUCUCUGGAUUUAGGCUGGGAAAUAGUGAGGAUUAUCCUCCUUCACCUACACAGGAGCAGAAGCAGGAAAAUAGCAGCAUCCUCUGUCCGUAAACCUCUCCUCAGAGGCACAAACAACCUGGGGUCAAGAGGGACAUAGCAGUCCAGGCAGGAGAUAGGAAUCACUGAGUCUGGGAGGUGAGAAUCCACUGCAUUUUUAAAUUAAUAGUUGAGUUGUCCCCACCCACCUUUCACAAACGUCUACUGGGUGUUAUCAUAAUUUGUUAUUUCCUAAUAUAGCAAGAACUUUGAUGGGCCUAUGUCAUAUGGAUUUUAAAUGCUUCUAUUUUCAAGCAAACUAAAACUAUGUUUAAAGCUUUUGUAAUUUAUUAAACUAGGGCCCAAUCCUGAAAUUCUUAUGGAAGUAAUUUAAAUUGCAUGAAUAGCUACACUGAUUUAUUAUAGUAACUGUGUGAGUAAGGGCUCGAGGAUCAAGCUCUGAAUUCUGUGCAAGUCAUUUUUAAAAAUCUUGGUUUCAGUGCAAGAGUCACUUUCUGCAACAUCCUGGGCACUACUUAAAAGAUUUGUUUCAACGACAAAAGUAGCAAGAUACACAAAGUUCAAAUAAUAAUGCAAGGAAACGAUAUUUCAGCAAGAUGUGCCAGUACUCUUUCUAAGAGGCUGGAAAAGGGUAUAUUUCUAAUUUUCAAAACAUCUAUUAUUCAUUGCUUGUUUCAAUAAACAAAUUAUAGUUUAAUGUUCA